GACCAACGAGGCAGUCCACAUAGCACAUCUUUAGUGGAAAAGCACCUUACGUGUGUUGAUAUCUUAGUUGUAAAAUAAAAAUGAGAACUUCAGUUUAUUACUCGAAUUAUUCCACAUUAGGUAUGAUAUUUAUUGGCAAUUUCUUUUUCAAUUUACAGACAGUGGUUAGUAUAUAUUUAUAUUAUAUUUUACUAGCUUCUACCAGCGGCUUCGCUGGGAUAAAAAGGUUGCUUUACGUUCAACGAAAAUAAAACGAGACCGCGUUCGGCGCUCUGAUUGGUCGGCGCGAAUGAACCAACCUAUCAGACCGCCGAACGUGGUCUCGUUUCGAUCUUAUAAACGUAAAACGAACUCAUAAUAAACACUCUGGAUAUCAAACGGAAGAGUUUGAUUGGUGGAACAAAGGUCAUUAAAGGUACGCGUCCACAGGUCCGCAUCGUACGCAUCGCACGCAACGAAUUUUAGUUUGUCUUGUAUAGAAACUCACACAACUGCGUCCACUGAUCCGCAUCGUACGGACCGCAUCAUCGGCAAUGCCUACAUGCGAUGCGUACUGAUGACGUAAAAUCUUUAAACAUAAAUUAAAAUAUGUAUUAAUUGUUUCAGAUGAAUACUUUGAAUUUAGAGAUCCUGGUGACCCACUAGCCCCAGAGGGGCAGCAGACCCCAAAAGAUGUGCCGGGGCAGUAUUUGAAGCCAAAACCGGGAUCGACGCCGCUGCACUAUGUCGACGAUGAAUGAUUCAAUAAAUGUUAUCAUUAUUUAA